UGGCGCACGCGCACGUGCUGGAGAGCGGCACGAUUGCGCUCAACGCCAUCCAUCGACGCGG
rnacentral:sRNA from 14 species